rnacentral:rRNA from 1 species
GACGAACGCUGGCGGCGUGCUUAACACAUGCAAGUCGAGCGGUAAGGCCCUUUCGGGGGUACACGAGCGGCGAACGGGUGAGUAACACGUGGGUGACCUGCCCUCAGCUCUGGGAUAAGCCUGGGAAACCGGGUCUAAUACUGGAUAUGACUCCAUGACGCAUGUUGUGGGGUGGAAAGCCCUGUGCGGCUGAGGAUGGGCCCGCGGCCUAUCAGCUUGUUGGUGGGGUGAGGCCUACCAAGGCGACGACGGGUAGCCGGCCUGAGAGGGCGACCGGCCACACUGGGACUGAGACACGGCCCAGACUCCUACGGGGGCAGCAGUGGGGAAUCUUGCGCAAUGGGCGAAAGCCUGACGCAGCGACGCCGCGUGAGGG